rnacentral:rRNA from 1 species
CCUCCCACGACAUUGCUCCACUACAAGAUGGGCCUGCGUCUGAUUAGCCAGUUGCGGGUAACGGCCCACCAAAGCGACGAUCAGUAGCCGGUCUGAGAGGAUGAACGGCCACAUUGGGACUGAGACACGGCCCAGACUCCUACGGGAGGCAGCAGUGGGGAAUCUUCCACAAUGGGCGAAAGCCUGAUGGAGCAACGCCGCGUGAGUGAAGAAGGUCUUCGGAUCGUAAAGCUCUGUUGCACGGGACGAAAACCGAGCUUGAGAAUAUUGAGUUUGGGUGACGGUACCGAGCGAGGAAGCCACGGCUAACUACGUGCCAGCAGCCGCGGUAAUACGUAGGUGGCGAGCGUUGUCCGGAAUUAUUGGGCGUAAAGGGAGCGCAGGCGGACAUAUAAGUCCAUCUUAAAAGUGCGGGCUCACCCGUGAGGGACUGAACCCUGUAUGCCUUGAGUGCAGGAGAGGAAAGCGGAAUUCCCAGUGUAGCGGGUCGACGCGGCCG